rnacentral:rRNA from 1 species
GACGAACGCUGGCGGCGUGCUUAACACAUGCAAGUCGAACGGAAAGGCCCUGCUUUUGUGGGGUGCUCGAGUGGCGAACGGGUGAGUAACACGUGAUUAACCUGCCCUUGACUUUGGGAUAACUUCAGGAAACUGGGGCUAAUACCGGAUAUGAGCUCCUGCUGCAUGGUGGGGGUUGGAAAGUUUCGGCGGUUGGGGAUGGACUCGCGGCUUAUCAGCUUGUUGGUGGGGUAGUGGCUUACCAAGGCUUUGACGGGUAGCAGGCCUGAGAGGGUGACCGGCAAAAUUGGGACUGAGAUACGGCCCAGACUCCUAAGGGAGGCAGCAGUGGGGAAUAUUGAACAAUGGGCGGAAGCCUGAUGCAGCAACGCCGCGUGAGGGAUGACGGCCUUCGGGUUGUAAACCGCUUUCGCCUGUGACGAAGCGUGAGUGACGGUAAUGGGUAAAGAAGCACCGGCUAACUACGUG